ACCUUUGUUUUGUUGUCAUUCCAAUCCCUUGACUAAGGAGUUCAAUUUUGACUACGCACCAUGUACUUCCAACGGACAGGAAUUCUAUAGAUAUACAGAGCCCUGUUACACAAAGCUGUCCGAGAGACUUACUAAAUAUAGUACUGCCUUUUACACUAUUGCGUCACUCAGCAUAAUAUUAGAGGUUUUUAUGCUUAUAUUUCUUGGUAAGCUGAUAAAGACUGAUCCUUCCUUAAAAGAAGAUUCUUUUAUUAUUAAAAUCAAAUCCUACUUUGGAAAAGACAG